UACGUAGGCAGCAAGCGUUGUUCGGAAUUACUGGGCGUAAAGAGUGCGUAGGUGGUUCGUUAAGUCUGUCGUGAAAGCCCCGGGCUCAACCUGGGAAUGGCGAUGGAUACUGGCGGGCUAGAGUGCGGUAGAGGAGAGUGGAAUUCCCGGUGUAGCAGUGAAAUGCGUAGAGAUCGGGAGGAACAUCAGUUGCGAAGGCGGCUCUCUGGACCAGCACUGACACUGAGGCACGAAAGCGUGGGGAGCAAACGGG
rnacentral:rRNA from 1 species